GACGAACGCUGGCGGCGUGCUUAACACAUGCAAGUCGAACGGUGAAGGGGUCUGCUUUUGUGGGCCCUGGAUGAGUGGCGAACGGGUGAGUAACACGUGAGUAACCUGCCCCCUUCUUCUGGAUAACCGCAUGAAAGUGUGGCUAAUACGGGAUAUUCUGGGUCUGUCGCAUGAUGGGUCUGGGAAAGAUUGCGCCUUUGGGUGUUUUUGGUGGGGGAUGGGCUCGCGGCCUAUCAGCUUGUUGGUGGGGUGAUGGCCUACCAAGGCGGUGACGGGUAGCCGGCCGGAGAGGGUGGACGGUCACACUGGGACUGAGACACGGCCCAGACUCCUACGGGAGGCAGCAGUGGGGAAGAUUGCACAAUGGGCGCAAGCCUGAUGCAGCGACGCCGCGUGAGGGAUGGAGGCCUUCGGGUUGUAAACCUCUUUCGCCAGUGAAGCAGGCCUGCUCCUUGUGGGUGGGUUGACGGUAGCUGGAGAAGAAGCGCCGGCUAACUACGUG
rnacentral:rRNA from 1 species